rnacentral:rRNA from 1 species
UACGUAGGGUGCAAGCGUUAAUCGGAAUUACUGGGCGUAAAGCGUGCGCAGGCGGUGAUCCAAGACCCGCCCGAAAUCCCCGGGCUUAACCUGGGAACUGCAUUUGUGACUGCAUCGCUGGAGUGCGGCAGAGGGGGAUGGAAUUCCGCGUGUAGCAGUGAAAUGCGUAGAUAUGCGGAGGAACACCGAUGGCGAAGGCAAUCCCCUGGGCCUGCACUGACGCUCAUGCACGAAAGCGUGGGGAGCAAACAGG